rnacentral:piRNA from 1 species
UGUGAAGAUUUGCAAAGCAAUGGUGGACAGU